CAAACGGUGUCUCUGAGGCAGAAAGCAAGGGAACUAGGGCAGGGAGGAGAAUUGUGUGCCUGAAAAAGGCAUAGCCAGUUGGAGGCAGAGGAAGGUGGAGAAGGGCAAAUUGAGCUCAUCUGAUGACCUCUGAGUUCAGUAAUAAAGUCUCCAGUUGCUAUAAGGGGAGGAGAAGACACCAGGGUAUGAAGGAGAGAAUUGGCAAGGCUGGGAAGAAAUAAGGAAGAGAGGUUUUACCUCUAGAUUAGACAACAUUAUAAGUGGCAGCACCUAGGGCAUUGCUUUGUCUCUGAAGAGGAAGCAGAGGCUCUUGGUUUUAUGGAGUCCUAAAAAUGCUGUGUCAUCCUCCUGCUCUCACCUUUCUGGAAGACCUGGCAGCAGCUUCCGCAUGCCUCACCCAAGACUUCCCAUUCCCUCUCAGAAAAACAGAUGCUACCUGUGUUUGACCCUAAUCACCCGGUUGAUCUUUCUUCCUUGAAAGACUGGCAUAAUCUAAACUCUCCAAAUUGAAAUCAAAGAAUAGUCAGCAAUAAGCACGGGGCAGUUACAGCUGUGGUUCAUGGGAAGCAAAGCAGGUUCCCCUUGCCUUGAAAUGUAAACGUUUGACAUGUCAUCUUCUCCAGCGUCGUCUUGGUCAAUGCAAUUGACCACUGCUGUCAUUGUCUUUAGAGGUUUUGACUAUCUGAUUUAAACAUUUAUUGAGCGUCCUCUUCCCCACCCAGAGAUCAGCAAAUGAUUCUGACAGAAUAGUUCUAAGGCAAAAUAAGUAUAAAAGAAGGGCAAUUUGGCGGCAUCCAUGCAUAUGUAAAAUACACAUCCUCUUUGACAUGCGAAUUCAUCUAGGAAUUUAUUCUACAGAUAGGCUUAUACAUUUACUCAGAGACAGGUGGAUUUGAAAUGCUCAGUGCAGCAUUUUUGUGUAAUCUCAAAAAUUGAGAACAACCUAAAUAUUUAUCAAAAGGGAGUACCUGUUUAUACCAUAGAAUCCCCUAAAGCUGCAUUUCUCAACCUAGGGCGAUUUUGCAAUCCAGGGAACACUUGGCAAUUUCUGGAGAGGUUUUUGGUUUUCAUUACUAGGGAGAUACUACUGCCACUAGUGGGUAGAGGCCAGAGAUGAUGCUAGACACCCUACUCUGCACAUGACCACCCUCCAAAACAAAGAAUUAUCUGGCCCACAACUUCCAUAGUGCCAAAACUGAGGAAGCCUGGCUUUGCAAGUACUAAAGAGAAUGAGCUUGUCUGCAUGGGCUGAGAAGGAUCCCUCUUGAAGACCCAUUAUUUGGAGAAGCAAGGCACUGUCUAUUUUCAUUUGGGUAACUCAAGAGCAUAAAGGCACUUCUGCAACACAUGCACACAUGUACAUACCCCCAGGGUAUACGUGUAUACUAGUAUGUUAUAUAUGCAUCUAUGCUUCUGUAUUUGAGAAGUAUUCCUGGGAAAACAAACUUCAAUAUUUCCUCACAGUAGUUACUUCUGGAGAGAGGUCUGAGAACCUGGAGAUCUGUGGUAGGGGUUAAACAUUGCACUUUACGCAUUUUUGUAUCAUUUGAAAUUUUCAACACAUGAAUUUGUUUUCAGUUGAAUUUUAGACUUUGUGGUAAUUGUUGUCAAGUACAGUGGGUAAAGGUAAAAUGGGACAGUGGCUGGUAUGUCUUCUUUUCUGCUCCUCUCCUUUCCCUCCAAAAAGGCAUCCUCCCACUCAACAUAUCAGAACUCUUAGCACAGCAAAAAGCUCAGGCAAAACUCGGCUAUCUGUAAUUUUUACUUUAACAAAAAUUUAAUUAAAGUGUAAACUCUGUUAGGAAGACUUACAUUUUCAAUCCCAUUUUUUCACAUUCUACCAUGAAAUAAAUGUUUGUUUCAGGUGUAGUGGGAUUUUCAGUAUAGCGUAUGUUCUGAAGAUGGGAAGACGGUUUCAGAGCUGCUGAAAUGAUGCCAGCGAUGGAAGCAUCUUUUGCCUAAAUCUUUGAGCGGUUUUCUUUGGGGAAUGUGUCACUUUUCUUGAAUGCUCAUGAAUUCGCAAAACUUUAAUUCAGUGAUGUCUACAACAAGCUCCAAGGAAGCAUAGAGUUUUGGGAGGUUCACUUUUGUUUCCAAAAGUUUUCAAUUAACUCUAAAAUUAAAACCUCUGUCUCUAAUUUCAAGACUAAAUCAUGACAUUUUGUAGUUAACUGAUGGUUAUUCCGUAUGACAAGAAACACUAAAAAUGUUAAGUUCUAUUGUAAUUGAAAAAAAAAUACCCAAUAGAUAAAUAAA